rnacentral:rRNA from 1 species
GACGUAGGGGGCGAGCGUUGUCCGGAGUUACUGGGCGUAAAGCGCCCGCAGGCGGUCUGGCGCGUUGGGGGUGACAGUCGGCGGCUUAACUGCCGAAGGACUCACAAGACGGCUGGACUGGAGGGCCUCAGAGGGACAUGGAAGUCCGGGUGGAGCGGUGAAAUGCGUAGAGAUCCGGAGGAACACCAAAGGCGAAGGCAGUGUCCUGGGAGGCACCUGACGCUCGGGGGCGAAGGCCAGGGGAG